rnacentral:rRNA from 1 species
GACGAACGCUGGCGGCGUGCCUAAUACAUGCAAGUUGAGCGCUGAAGGUUGGUACUUGUACCAACUGGAUGAGCAGCGAACGGGUGAGUAACGCGUGGGGAAUCUGCCUUUGAGCGGGGGACAACAUUUGGAAACGAAUGCUAAUACCGCAUAAAAACUUUAAACACAAGUUUUAAGUUUGAAAGAUGCAAUUGCAUCACUCAAAGAUGAUCCCGCGUUGUAUUAGCUAGUUGGUGAGGUAAAGGCUCACCAAGGCGAUGAUACAUAGCCGACCUGAGAGGGGGAUCGGCCACCAUGGGACUGAGACACGGCCCCAACUCCUACGGGAGGCAGCAGUAGGGAAUCUUCGGCAAUGGACGAAAGUCUGACCGGGCAACGCCGCGGGAGUGAAGAAGGUUUUCGGAUCGUAAAACUCUGUUGGUAGAGAAGAACGUUGGUGAGAGUGGAAAGCUCAUCAAGUGACGGUAACUACCCAGAAAGGGACGGCUAACUACGUG